rnacentral:rRNA from 1 species
AACAAACGCUGGCGGCGUGCCUAACACAUGCAAGUCGUACGAGAAAGUUGGCUUCGGCCAAUGAGUAAAGUGGCGCACGGGUGAGUAACGCGUGGAUAAUCUGCCCUUCAGCGGGGAAUAACCCAUCGAAAGGUGGGCUAAUACCCCAUAACACUGUUUACAACUGUCAAACAGUCAAAGAGAGCCUCUGCCUGCAAGCUUUACUGAAGGUUGAGUCCGCGUACCAUUAGCUAGUUGGUAGGGUAAUGGCCUACCAAGGCGACGAUGGUUAGCUGGUCUGAGAGGAUGAUCAGCCGCACUGGAACUGAGACACGGUCCAGACUCCUACGGGAGGCAGCAGUGAGGAAUAUUGGUCAAUGGGCGGAAGCCUGAACCAGCCAUUCCGCGUGAAGGAAGAAGGCCUUAUGGGUUGUAAACUUCUUUUCUGUUAGAAGAAUAAGCCCGUCGUGACGGGUGAUGCCGGUAUAGCAGGAAUAAGCAUCGGCUAACUCCGUG